rnacentral:rRNA from 1 species
UACGGAGGGUGCGAGCGUUGUCCGGAAUCACUGGGCGUAAAGGGCGCGUAGGUGGCCUGUGGAAAGUCGUGCGGUGAAAGCCCGGCGCUCAACGCCGGGUCGGCCGUGGAUACUCUCGGGCUCGAGCUUACUAGAGGCAGAUGGAAUUCCGGGUGUAGCGGUGGAAUGCGUAGAGAUCCGGAAGAACACCGGUGGCGAAGGCGGUCUGCUGGGGUAAUGCUGACACUGAUGCGCGACAGCGUGGGGAGCAAACAGG